AUUGAACGCUGGCGGCAGGCCUAACACAUGCAAGUCGAGCGGAUGACGGGAGCUUGCUCCUUGAUUCAGCGGCGGACGGGUGAGUAAUGCCUAGGAAUCUGCCUGGUAGUGGGGGACAACGUUUCGAAAGGAACGCUAAUACCGCAUACGUCCUACGGGAGAAAGCAGGGGACCUUCGGGCCUUGCGCUAUCAGAUGAGCCUAGGUCGGAUUAGCUAGUAGGUGAGGUAAUGGCUCACCUAGGCGACGAUCCGUAACUGGUCUGAGAGGAUGAUCAGUCACACUGGAACUGGGACAAGGUCCAGACUCCUACGGGAGGCAGCAGUGGGGAAUAUUGGACAAUGGGCGAAAGCCUGAUCCAGCCAUGCCGCGUGUGUGAAGAAGGUCUUCGGAUUGUAAAGCACUUUAAGUUGGGAGGAAGGGCAGUAAGCUAAUACCUUGCUGUUUUGACGUUACCGACAGAAUAAGCACCGGCUAACUCUGUGCCAGCAGCCGCGGUAAUAC
rnacentral:rRNA from 1 species